rnacentral:rRNA from 1 species
UACGUAGGGAGCGAGCGUUGUCCGGAUUCAUUGGGCGUAAAGAGCUCGUAGGCGGCUUGGUAAGUUGGGUGUGAAACCUCCAGCUUAACCUGGAGACGCCACUCAAUACUGCCAUGGCUAGAGUCCGGUAGGGGACCACGGGAAUUCCUGGUGUAGCGGGUGAAAAUGCGCAGAUAUCAGGAGGAACACCGGUGGCGAAGGCGGGUCUCUGGGCAACAACUGACGCUGAGGAGCGAAAGCGUGGGGAGCGAACAGG